rnacentral:lncRNA from 1 species
CACAUGGAUUAAUUGAUGGACCUUGGGUUUAUGGAGCUACCUUUUCAUGACCUGCUCUUCCUACAGUUUCUAAGAAGAAAAGGGGGCCUCUGAAUCAAAGAAGAUGCCUCGAACUAAACAGAUUCAUCCCAGAAAUCUAAGAGACAAAAUUGAAGAAGCACAAAAAGAACUAAAUGGGGCAGAAGUGUCAAAAAAAGAACUCUUAGAGGCUGGCAUCAAAGGAACUUCCGAAUCGCUUAAAGGUGUGAAACGGAAAAAGAUUGUAGCAGAGAAUCACCUGAAAAAAAUACCAAAAUCCCCUCUGAGAAAUCCUCUUCAGGCCAAACACAGACAAAAUACCGAAGAGUCCCCUUUCCCCGUGCUCGCGGGCACGGCAGAGCCCCACAAGAAGCAGAGCCACAGUCCGGUGAAGGCCGGGGGGAGGCCGCUGACCAAACACAACGGGGAGACCCCAGGGCUGACCGCCGGGACCCCCAAGUCCGAAGCCCCCGUCUGCCCCCGGAAGCCCCCAUUUCUGCCGCAGCUGUCGGAGCCGCGCCGAUGGCGGUCGGAGGGCCCCGACCCCGCCAAGGCCGGCGUCCCAGAGGGAAAGCGUGACCCCGGGUCCCCGCCCAGCAAGGGCAAAGCUGAGCGCUGCGAGGGUCCAGCCUCCCCCGGCCACAGCUCCCCACCCGCCUCCUUUGCAAACACCGCCUUUGACGUCUUGCUGAAGGCCAUGGAGCCGGAGCUGAGCACCCUGUCGCAGAAGGGCUCACCCUGUGCCGCAAAGAUCGAAAACCUGAGACCAAAUAAAACCGCACGCGCCCCUGCUCACCUCCACGGAGGCCCGCGGGAGGCCCCCGACCCGCGCCUGCCAGAUGUGGCCGCCCCCUCGCAGCCGCUGCCGCCGCCUCGGACCUCGUACCCCUCCGGGCCAGUGUCCGCUGCUCAGAGGAAGGACCCAGCAGCAGCCCGGGCCGCCUCUCCGGCGUAUCACAUACAGGAACUCCCCGUGCCUAAACCCGGCCCACAAAGUCAGCAGCUUCCCGCAUGUUCGGGUUUCGCCCCAUCUCUCAAGAGCCUGCAGAGCCAGGAGAAUGCCCAGCUUGAACAUGUCUACACCGCCGCAGCCACGUCACCCCCCGGCCACACUCAGGUCACCCCUCCCAACCAGCAAGUGGACGCUGCCGCCCCGGUGCCGGUGAGCCCCGCGCCUUCCACACAGUCACCCCAAUGCCCCAUCUACAACUCCAGCCCUGUCGCUGCUGUGGUUAACCACAGCGUGGAGCAAAUGUGCAGUCUUCUCCUGAAAGAUCAGAAGCCAAAAAAGCAAGGAAAAUACAUCUGUGAGUAUUGCAACCGAGCCUGUGCAAAGCCCAGCGUGCUUCUAAAGCACAUCCGCUCCCACACUGGGGAGCGCCCCUACCCCUGCGUGACCUGUGGGUUUUCAUUUAAGACUAAAAGCAACCUGUACAAGCACAAAAAGUCCCACGCACACACUAUCAAACUGGGCCUUGUCCUGCAGCCAGAUGCCAGUGGCUUGUUCAUGUCACACGAGUCCCCCAAAGCACUUAGCAUCCAUUCGGAUGUGGAAGACAGUGGAGACAGUGACGAGGAUGGCGCUGGCGAUGAAAGGCCAAACGACCCGGGCUCCAUGGACCUGCAGCCAGCGCAGAUGAUAAGAAUGCUGUCCAGCUCGGAAACUUUACCAAAAUCAGGUUCCAUUCCAAGCAACCCCAAGCACGUGGUCGGUGACUUUGCACCGCAGGACAGGUCUUCAGAAUCACAGGCUGCGGCAGAGUUACCAAAGGUUGUGGUCCACCCCAUCAGCAUGUCCCCUUUAAGAGUUGAUAGCCCGAAGGUUACGGAGUCCAAGCCUGAGCUCCCUGGUGCACAGAAAGACCUUCAGGGAACCCGGGUCCUGUCCCACCCGGCUUGGGCGUCCUCCAGGGAGGCAGAUGAGAAGGCCCAUCAGAAAGGCGACCCAAGUCAGCCCGAUGGAAAGCCAGAGUCCCCUGUGGGCACAGCGCAUGCCCAGCUGCAGAGGCAGCAGGCCACUGAUUACUGCCAAGAGCAGCAAGGAAAACUGCUGAGUCCUCGCAGCCUGGGAAGCACGGAUUCGGGCUACUUUUCCCGAUCUGAGAGCGCUGACCAAACCGUGAGUCCACCCACCCCCUUUGCCAGGACGCUACCUGCCCCAGAGCAGGACUCUGUGAAGAACAGCGGGCCAUCGACCCCUCGGGUCAGCACACCAGCAGCCUCUGCUGUUCCAGCAGGUGAAAAAGCGCCCCUCCUCCCAGGUCAGAUGAGACUUCCACUGGAACCGAAAACACUGGAGGAGCGGAUCUCAAAGCUCAUCUCCGACAACGAAGCCCUGGUGGAUGACAAGCAGCUGGACAGCGUGAAGCCCCGGAGGACCUCUCUCUCCCGCCGGGGAAGCAUCGAUUCCCCCAAGUCGUACAUCUUUAAGGACUCUUUCCAGUUUGACUUGAAACCAAUGGGACGGAGAACAAGUUCAAGCUCUGAUAUACCAAAGUCCCCUUUCACCCCGACAGAGAAAUCAAAGCAAGUGUUUCUUCUGUCUGUACCUUCCCUCGACUGCCUGCCCAUCACCAGGAGUAAUUCCAUGCCCACCACUGGGUACUCCGCAGUACCUGCCAGCAUCAUCCCUGCCCCACAUCCACUGAGAGGAAGUCAGUCUUUUGAUGACAAAAUUGGCGCUUUCUACGAUGAUGUCUUCGUACCAGGACCUAACCCUUCUGUGACCCAGAGUGGACAUCCCCGCACCCUGGUGAGACAGGCAGCGGUGGAAGACUCCUCAGCGAGCGAAAACCACAUUCUUGGGGCCGGACUGCCCUGGGACGAGAGCCAUCCUGGAGGCAGCCCCGCCGGGGAGACUGCAGCCUUGAGGAGCAAGCCCCCGGCCCCAGGCUCACACUUGGAAAAGAAGAAGUCUCACCAAGGGCGAGGGACCAUGUUUGAGUGCGAGACCUGUAGAAACAGGUAUCGGAAACUGGAAAAUUUUGAAAACCAUAAGAAAUUUUACUGUUCAGAGUUGCAUGGACCAAAAACCAAGGUUGCUGUGCGGGACCCAGAGCACAGCCCGGUGCCCGGUGGGGCACAGCCUCCCAUCCUGCACUACAGGGUCGCCGGAGCCACCAGGGUCUGGGAACAGACGACCCAGAUCCGGAAAAGGAGGAAAAUGAAAAGCGUCGGAGAUGAUGACGAACUUCAGCAGAACGAGAGUGGAGCACCUCCGAAAAGCUCCGAGGGCUCCCAUUCUCAGAGCGCGCUGGGCCUGGCUCCCUUGUCUCAGCAGAACCUUGCCAUACCCAGCGAGCUGCAGCCUCGAAACCAGCGGCAGACCACGCAGAUUCAGCUUGGGGCCAGAGGUCCCGACCAGCCCCGGGACCCAAAGCCGUCGUCCGUCCUGGAAGAGCUGAUGAGCUCGGCUGCCCAGGACAGGGCGGAGCCCAAGAGACACGGGGCCGGCAUCUCGGUCAUCCAGCAUACAAACUCGCUCAGCAGGCCUGGGGCCUUUGACAAGCUGGAUACUGGCGAAGGCGCGUCCCCCGUUCCUUUCCAGGAGCUGAGAACGGGCAAGCCGGGGUCUCUGAGGGUCAGAGGAGUUUCCCAAGAGGAAGGACGCCCUUCCCGGCACACCUCUCAGCCCACACUGUCCGAUGCUCUGAGAGGGGAACUUCAGGACGGUUCCAGAAAGAUCUCAGGUGAGCGGCACGUGCUCGGACAGCCCUCCAGACUCGUUCGGCAGCACAGCAUCCAAGUCCCGGAAAUCCUGGUCACCGAAGAGCCAGAUCAGGACCUGGAAGGCCAAGGCCACGAUGCAGAGAAAUCGGAGAAGUUCAGUUGGCCUCAGCGGAGCGAAACCUUGUCCAAGCUGCCGACGGAGAAACUGCCGCCCAAGAAGAAGAGGCUGCGCUUGGCCGAGAUGGAGCAUUCUUCCGCCGAGUCGAGUUUCGACUCCACACUCUCCCGGAGUCUCAGCAGGGACAGUAGUUUAUCGCACACUUCGAGUUUCUCCGCGUCUUUAGACGUGGAGGACGUUUCUAAGACCGAGGCCUCCCCCAAAAUUGACUUUCUGCACAAAGCGGACUUCCUCCUGAUUCCGGCUGGCUCUAACACGCUGAGUGUUCCGGCAGGUCACCGUGAGAUGCGGCGGGCCGCGUCGGAACAGAUUCACUGCCUGCAGACAUCCAUGGAGGUGUCCGAUUUCAGAAGCAAGUCAUUCGACUGUGGAAGCAUAGCCCCAUCUAAGAAGGUGCCACCGGCCGAAUCGCAUCCUCCAACAUCCGCUUCCGGCGUGGGGGUCGCGGGGCACGUGCCCCUCUUGGAAAGACGGAGGGGCCCACUGAUACGGCAGAUCUCUUUAAACAUCCAUCCGGAGAAUCAGCUGGCUUCCGGGAACCCAUUAUCUUUCCAGACCAUCGCCCGUCCCGCUGUGAACACAGUGCCAUGGCAGGGGCCUCAGCUCACUCACACAGUUUCAGCCGAGUUCCCUGCAAGUACUUUGUACUCCCAGACUCCAGGGAAGGAUGUGCUAGCAGAAACGGCAAGUUCCCACUCUCCAAACCUCUUUUCCGUUCAACAGCUUCUAGGCAUACACUCGUUGAAUCAAAUCCCCGUGCCACUUAGCCACCCAGACACACAGAUGUCCCUGCAGGUGUCUUCUACGCAGAGUGUCAAACCAGAUGCAAGCCCCGGUGGCCGUCUACCUUCCAAAAGUGAAGAUUGCUUUGCUCCCAAGUACCAGCUCCAGUGUCCGGCGGUCCCCUCCAGCCAACCUUGCACUUCUAAUCCUGUGCAACCUCUGCCAAAGCAAGUUCUUUCAGAUGCAGCCGGGGCCACCCCUGGUGUGACCUCACUGACCUUACCAGCCAAAUUAGCAGAAGCCACGUCUAACUCGUGUCCUCCGCCACCCCUGAAGGUCGGGGCGCUCGGCGGUCAGGUGCCAAAGGUGCCCACGUCCUUGACGCUGUCCACGCACCUGCAGACUCAGGUCCCCACGUACUGUUUCGCCACAGUCACAGCUCUGCCACAAAUCCUAGUGACCCAGGAUCUCUCCAAUCAGCCGAUUUGCCAGGCUAAUCGUAGUAUGGUGCCAAUCAGCGAGGAACAAAAUUCCGUACCAAAACCGCAAAACGAUCCCCGGAAUGCUUUGCCAAACCCAGAGGGAGAGCUCGUCCACCAACCUGUCUUUUCAGAGAUGGGCCAAAACCCAUCUCCGUCAGAAUCCUUGCCCACAACACCGAAGAUGUCUGUCGGGAGACUUUCCCCACAGCAAGAAUCUUCAGCUUCCAGUAAAAGGAUGCUCUCCCCAGCAAAUAGUUUAGACAUUGCCAUGGAAAAGCACCAGAAGCGAGCCAAGGAUGAAAACGGAGCUGUCUGUGCGACAGACACGAGACCGCUGGAAGCAGCGGGUUCAAGAGCUCCUGACGGUAGCAAACAGAAGAAGCCUGUGCUAGUGAGGCAGGUGUGUACCACAGAGCCCCUUGAGGCUGUGACGUUGGAGCAGGAUGUUGUUCCUCACCCCAAAGUCAGUACCGAGGCCCUUCACUUGACUGAUGUGCCACCAGCCGAUAGAGAGCCCAUGAAAGAACUGCAGGAAUUUGAAAGUAUCCCAUCAGCUGCAUUGCUAACGCCGACAGUUCGAAACCCAGCUGCACCUGCAGAGAAAACUCAUAUUUCUCCUUUGGAAUCCAUAGACAACCACCAAGAAAGGAAGUCUCCAGGGAUUAAAAAUCCAGGUGACAAAGCAAAUGUCCAGGAACAGAGUCAGCAUGCGGCCACGACUCCUUCCACGUGUGAGGCUGGCGACACACAGCCGUCCACGUCCUUCCCCAGCCUGAAGACGGCCACCAGCUUCACAUGGUGCUACCUGAUGAGACAGAAGGCCCUGCACCUGCCGCAGAAGGACCAGAAAACUUCGGCCUACACCGACUGGACCGUGAGUGCCAGUGAUCCAAACCCACUCGGCCUGCCAACCAAAGUGGCUCUUUCUCUCUUGAACUCCAAGCAGAAGACCGGAAAAUCUCUGUACUGUCAAGCAAUAACCACCCAUUUCAAGUCAGACUUACUGGUCUAUUCAAGCAAGUGGAAAAGCAACUUAAGCAAGAGAGCAUUAGGUAAUCAAAAGUCCACAGUAGUUGAAUUCAGCAGUAAAGAUGCCUCUGAAAUUAACAGUGAGCAAGAUAAAGAAAAUUCCUUAAUCAAAAGUGAACCAAGAAGAAUUAAAAUAUUUGAUGGAGGAUAUAAAUCAAAUGAAGAGUAUGUAUAUGUCCGAGGCAGGGGAAGAGGAAAGUACAUUUGUGAAGAAUGCGGAAUCCGUUGUAAGAAACCUAGUAUGUUAAAGAAACACAUACGAACCCAUACAGAUGUCCGCCCCUACCACUGCACUUUCUGUAACUUCUCCUUUAAGACUAAAGACGAGAAACAGAGGUUCAGUUUCGAGAGGUCUGGAUACGACCCGGAGGAAUCCGAUGGCGCCGAGGACGACGACAUCGAGAACGAGGAGGAGGACGAAGACAGCCAGGCCGAGUCGGUGCUGUCGGCCGCGCCCUCGGCCGCAGCCAGCCCGCAGCACCUGCCGGCCAGGGGCGGCCCUGGAGACCCCACGGGUGCGGACGAGGACGCCGGCGCCCCCGAGGGCUCUCCCGGGGGCCCCGCAGACGCGAUGGAUGUGCUGCCGAGGGCUCUGCCCACCAAGAUGACGGUGCUGAGCGCGCUGCAGUCGGACCGCGGCGGGAGCCCGGGGUCCCCCAGCAGCGCCGGGCCGCAGCCCGCGGGCAAUGCGGAGGCGGCCGCCCGCCCACCCGAGCGGGCGCCCAGGUCCCCGUGUCUCCAGAUGUCUGUGGACUACCCCGACCCGGAGGAGGUGCUGAGCGGCUCUGCGGCAGGACAGGCUGUGGCUUUAACGCAGGGCCCUCCGUGCCUGAGCCUUCCUUCUCCCCCGGCAUCUGAGCGCAGCCCUCAGCCAGGAGGGGCUCCUCCGUCCACCUCGCCUCGGCCCGGCCCCCAAGAGCAGAAGCCGAAAGCCUCCCUGCCUCCACCCGCAGGCCUGCCUUCUCCGCAGACGCACCUGUUCAGCCACCUGCCUCUGCAUUCCCAGCAGCAGUCAAGGACACCCUAUAACAUGGUUCCGGUCGGGGGCAUCCAGGUGGUCCCCGCUGGCCUCACCUACUCCACCUUCGUCCCCAUCCAGGCCGGGCCAGUGCAGCUCACCAUCCCAGCUGUCAACGUCAUCCACAGACCACUGGGCACCCCAGGGGACUUGAGCGCGGACGUGCCAGGCGCUGCCAGCCCCGCGGGCGUGACCGAACUGAGCAGCGUGGUGCCCUGUAUCCCCAUCGGCCAGAUCCGCGUCCCAACGCUGCAGCCCCUGCCGGCCCUGAGCAUGGAGACCGUCAACAUCGUGGGCCUGGCCAGCGCCAGCCUCGGCCCGCCCGUGCGCCCGCCGGGGCUGGCCCUCAAUGCCGUGGGGCUGCAGGUGGUGGCCGCCAACCCCGCCUCCCAGAGCAGCCCCGCGCCCCCCGCGCCCAUCCCGGGCCUCCAGAUUCUAAACAUCGCCCUGCCCACGCUCAUCCCCUCCGUGAGCCAGGUCCCUGUGGACGCCCAGGGCGCCCCCGAGAUGCCCGCUCCCCAAAACAGGGCUCCCCGGGAGGCGCCUCCCACGCAGCCUUCUGCCGGGGCGCAUCCCGGCGGUGGGACCCCAUCCCCGCAGGGCUCACCCAGAGUCCAGCGGGAAAGCGCACAGAAGGGUCUAGAUCCGCCUGCCCCGGCCAGAGACCAGGCAAGGCGGGACAGCUCCAGUCCUAAGGACACGGGGAAGGGGGCCUCGGCGAAUCACCCGAAGCGCCGGCACGACACCCCUGGCGCGCCCUGCAAACCAGCCUCGGCGCCGGCGCCGCCGCCCCCGCCGGGCCGGCCGAGGCUCCUCCUGGACCCGGAGGGACCCCGGCCCCCGCCCCGGAGGCCGGUCACUCAGUUCAGCGACGUGAGUAGCGACGAGGAUGAGGACAGGCUCGUGAUCGCCACCUAG